ensembl:lncRNA
CUCUGAUGCAAUGCAAAGGUCAGAGGGCAAGACACACAUUGUAUGCAAACAGGAAAAUAAUUUCUUCUGGGAUCUGCUAAUAUACGGACAAAGGAGAGAAGCAUGUCAUCUGCUGUACAAGCCAAGGCAAACCCAGCUUCGUUCCAUGCAUCAGAGGGUUGAAUCAGAAAGAAAAGGAUUAAAGUUGCUCAAGGAGUUAGAAAAAGAAAGAACAAACUGCCUGAAAUCCAGCACUAUUCAUGUAUGCAGCAUGGAUUGUUUUAAAAUGCUGUUUUUCUUCAAACAUCACUUUCAUAAGGCCAAUUCUAAAUGGAUUGAGAUGACACUAAGAGGUUUGGCAUCAGAUCAGCAGUGUCAGUGACCCCAGUGUUACCUCCUACGCAGUUAGCAGAACCGUGAUGUGGAACCUUCUGACCCAUGGCAUGCAGUUGGUGAAAGCCAGUGAUUUUCACUUCAUAAUGCAAUCAUCUCAGACAGUGGAAAGGCAGUACUGGUGAAAUGCAGGUCUAAUCAGAUUGGUGUGGCCAGUUUGGGAUGAAACAGUGGAAACAGAGCAAUGUUUUGAAAAUGUUUUGAACUUCCCAAAAGACGUGGAACCUGGUAGCUCCCACAGCUCUUACAGCCCCACAGAGUUGCUUUGGGUAGACUGAUGUUAUAAGCUGGAUCAAGAUGAAAAAAAAGGACAAUGGCUGAAAUAUCAACAAAAUAUCUGAACAAAAGAAUGGGAGCUACACUUGUCCUUGCUUGAUUUUACCAGCGCAUGUCCUUUGUAUAAUGUAUGCCUGCCAUCCUGCCACAGAUCUAUUCCAGAAAAUAAUCCAUGACUGUUAUGGAUGUGAAUUGCAUUCCUUUUAAAUAACAAGAAGAGACUGGAGAAAAUCUGAACUACUUUAAGAGAAGACUAAGAGAGACUUUCCAAUUGAAUGGAUUUUAUUCUCCUAAUAAGGAAAAGUCGUGUUGUACAACUCUAUCGUCUCACCCUCUCAGUAAAUUACAUAAAGAAGGGACUGAGACAGUUUUUCUUACUGCUUACAUAUUAUGCUGAUGCACGUCAGUAGGUAUUAAUUUAGUAAGUUGCUACUUUUGUGCAAAAAUGGAUUGGUAUGAAUAGAGCAAAACCGAUCUUGGACUGAUGUUUUUAGGACUGAUUUGACCUCGCUCAGGCCUUGCUGUAAUGAUCAGAUGUGGUAUUCAGAUUAAAAGAAGAAAGGAGAGCCAGAACAAAGUUUCCAGCUGUUAUUAAUAAAACACUUCUGCUUAAUCUCUGUGGAAGGCACAGAAUUAACACUGUCAUGGUUCUUCCUUGAAAAUCAUUGGUCCAGCAAACUCCAGGGUAUGUCUGUGGAUGUUCAAGUGAAGGAGAAGUUACAUGGGAG